rnacentral:rRNA from 1 species
AGGUGCCUGCUAAAGCGAAAGCUGACGUAUAGGUGCUGACACCUGCCCAGUGCCGGAAGGUUAAGGAAGGAUGUUCGGAUUAGUCCAAAGCAUUCGACUGAAGCCCCGGUGAACGGCGGCCGUAACUAUAACGGUCCUAAGGUAGCGAAAUUCCUUGUCGGGUAAGUUCCGACCCGCACGAAAGGUGUAACGAUUUGGGCACUGUCUCAACGAGGGACCCGGUGAAAUUGAAAUACCUGUGAAGAUGCAGGUUACCCGCGACUGGACAGAAAGACCCCAUGGAGCUUUACUGUAACCUGACAUUGGGUUUUGAUACAUUACGUACAGGAUAGGUGGGAGGCUUGGAAAGUUGGACGCUAGUCUGACUGGAGCCGACGUUGGGAUACCACCCUUGAUGUAUUGAAAUUCUAACCGCGAGAGUAACGAAAUCCGGGACAGUGUCAGGCGGGCAGUUUGACUGGGGCGGUCGCCUCCGAAAGAGUAACGGAGGCGCCCAAAGGUUCCCUCAGCGCGGCCGGAAAUCGCGCGAAGAGUGUAAAGGCAGAAGGGAGCUUGACUGCGAGUCAAACACGACGAGCAGGUACGAAAGUAGGGCUUAGUGAUCCGGUGGUACCGAGUGGAAGGGCCAUCGCUCAACGGAUAAAAGCUACCCUGGGGAUAACAGGCUAAUCUCUCCCAAGAGUCCAUAUCGACGGGGAGGUUUGGCACCUCGAUGUCGGCUCAUCACAUCCUGGGGCUGAAGUCGGUCCCAAGGGUUGGGCUGUUCGCCCAUUAAAGUGGUACGUGAGCUGGGUUCAGAACGUCGUGAGACAGUUCGGUCCCUAUCCAUCGCGGGCGCAAGAGAUUUGAAGGGGGCUGCUCCUAGUACGAGAGGACCGGAGUGGACGAACCGCUGGUGUACCAAUUAUCCCGCCAGGGGUACAGUUGGGUAGCUACGUUCGGAAAGGAUAAACGCUGAAAGCAUCUAAGCGUGAAACCAGCCUUAAGAUGAGAUCUCUCAUAGAGCAAUCUAGUAAGACACCUUAAAGAAGAUGAGGUUGAUAGGUCGGGAGUGUAAGUACAGCAAUGUAUUGAGCGGACCGAUACUAAUAUGUCGAGGGCUUGACUUA